rnacentral:tRNA from 1 species
GGAUGGAUGUCUGAGCGGUUGAAAGAGUCGGUCUUGAAAACCAAAGUAUUGAUAGGAAUACCGGGGGUUCAAAUCCCUCUCCAUCCG